rnacentral:rRNA from 1 species
AUUGAACGCUGGCGGCAUGCCUUACACAUGCAAGUCGAGCGGCAGCACGGGAGCAAUCCUGGUGGCGAGUGGCGAACGGGUGAGUAAUAUAUCGGAACGUGCCCAGACGUGGGGGAUAACGUAGCGAAAGCUACGCUAAUACCGCAUGUGAUCUGUGGAUGAAAGCGGGGGAUCGAAAGACCUCGCGCGUUUGGAGCGGACGAUAUCAGAUUAGGUAGUUGGUGGGGUAGAGGCUUACCAAGCCUGCGAUCUGUAGCUGGUCGUGAGAGGACGACCAGCCACGGUGGAACUGAGACACGGUCCAGACUCCUACGGGAGGCAGCAGUGGGGAAUUUUGGACAAUGGGCGCAAGCCUGAUCCAGCAAUGCCGCGUGCAGGAUGAAGGCCUUCGGGUUGUAAACUGCUUUUGUACGGAACGAAACGGCUUUUUCUAAUACAAAGGGCUAAUGACGGUACCGUAAGAAUAAGCACCGGCUAACUACGUGCCAGCCGCCGCCGUAAUAC